rnacentral:rRNA from 1 species
GAUGAACGCUGGCGGCGUGCCUAAUACAUGCAAGUCGAGCGAACAGAUGAGGAGCUUGCUCCUCUGACGUUAGCGGCGGACGGGUGAGUAACACGUGGAUAACCUACCUAUAAGACUGGGAUAACUACGGGAAACCGGAGCUAAUACCGGAUAAUAUAUUGAACCGCAUGGUUCAAUAGUGAAAGACGGUUCUGCUGUCACUUAUAGAUGGAUCCGCGCCGCAUUAGCUAGUUGGUAAGGUAACGGCUUACCAAGGCAACGAUGCGUAGCCGACCUGAGAGGGUGAUCGGCCACACUGGAACUGAGACACGGUCCAGACUCCUACGGGAGGCAGCAGUAGGGAAUCUUCCGCAAUGGGCGAAAGCCUGACGGAGCAACGCCGCGUGAGUGAUGAAGGUCUUCGGAUCGUAAAACUCUGUUAUUAGGGAAGAACAAAUGUGUAAGUAACUAUGCACGUCCUGACGGUACCUAAUCAGAAAGCCACGGCUAACUACGUG